CAGCCGCCGCGGUAAUACGUAGGGUGCGAGCGUUAAUCGGAUUUACUGGGCGUAAAGCGUGCGCAGGCGGCCCGUUAAGACAGGUGUGAAAUCCCUGGGCUCAACCUAGGAAUUGCGCUUGUGACUGGCGGGCUCGAGUACGGUAGAGGGGGGUGGAAUUCCUGGUGUAGCAGUGAAAUGCGUAGAGAUCAGGAGGAACACCGAUGGCGAAGGCAGCCCCCUGGGCCUGUACUGACGCUCAUGCACGAAAGCGUGGGGAGCAAACAGGAUUAGAUUCCCUGGUAGUCCACGCCCUAAACGAUGGGUACUAGCCGUUUGGUGCGCGAUAGCGCUGAGUGGCGAAGCUAACGCGUGAAGUACCCCGCCUGGGGAGUACGGCCGCAAGGUUGAAACUUAAAGGAAUUGGCGGG
rnacentral:rRNA from 1 species